AAUAACGGUGUAUGCUUCGCCGUGGGUAGACUAGUUUACACUAAAAUAGUUACACAGGUCAAAUGUUUCAUAAAACUCCAACUGUUUCGUUUCUAUAUAUUCUCACGUAACAACAUUUCAAUGUGAAAUUCUGGAUCCAUUUUAUUUAAUGAGAUUUUAAACUUUACCGCAGUUCCCUAAUCAAGAUACGCCGUCUCUUCGUUUUGACUUCAAGGCGUGCCAGGUUAAAUAGCGUUUCAUCGUAUCUACUUCAUCUUCCAGGGAUUUAAAAGCGCUGGGGUGGCCAAUCUAUGGUGCAAAAAAUAGAAAUGGAAAAGUGGUUUAAGUGCUGGAACAAGUCCCACAAGGCCCAUGGAGUCUGGGAGCGCAUGAGGCGCCCUGACCGCACUUCCCCGUGGUGGAGACUGUCCAGGUCUGAGUAAGCUAUUAUAUAGCACAUUGCAGGACAGGCAACUGUCCUGUUGGCUCAUAUUUCUCAUGGCUAUGGGCCACACUGAAAUAAUAAUUAAAAUUAUAAAUGCAAUAUAAACAUUUUAACAAAGACAGACUUACUAAGUAAAGUUUAUCUGUUGUUUUUUUUUUCUUAAAUCCCUUCCCCUACAACACACAAAUAUGAAUAACUAACCUAAUACAAAUCUACAAAUGACCAUACUCUAAAGAACUGAAUAAGAUGAGAAAAAAAAUUGGCGCAUGGAAGAAAAAGGUUAGCCACCCCUGGUGUAUUUUAUUUGAUACAAAGUAAUCGGAACAAAAUUUCAGAUUUUGCAAACUCAGAAUCUGUAUGUUGUAAAGGUCAUGUCAUGUGAUCAGCACAACAUUUCUAUGGACUCUGUUAGUCUACUUAUUAAAUAUUUACUUCAACUUUAAUUUUUACAAUUAUAUGUAAUAUAUUUCUAGCAAUAACAAUUAAAUGUAAUGUUGUACCAAUACUUAGCAUACAAUUUCUUCUAUUAUUUGCUUUAAUAAAUGUAUGUCAUACAUAUGACAAAAAAAAACACCAAAGUCUCUGUUGAUUGUGCUGUGCUGUUCUGUUCAUGUAGGAGAUUUAAAUGUCUGCACUUUCUGCGUCUGAGAUUAUUUCUAUAUUAUUACAGAAGAAUAUUAUUUUAUUGAUUGUACAAUUCAAAAUUUUAAAUUUUUAUUUUUGGUUUUCAA